UACGUAGGUGGCAAGCGUUGUCCGGAUUUACUGGGUGUAAAGGGCGUGUAGCCGGGCUGACAAGUCAGAUGUGAAAUCCGGGGGCUCAACCCCCGAACUGCAUUUGAAACUGUUGGUCUUGAGUAUCGGAGAGGCAGGCGGAAUUCCUAGUGUAGCGGUGAAAUGCGUAGAUAUUAGGAGGAACACCAGUGGCGAAGGCGGCCUGCUGGACGACAACUGACGUUGAGGCUCGAAAGCGUGGGGAGCAAACAGG
rnacentral:rRNA from 1 species